rfam:Puccinia triticina 1-1 BBBD Race 1 supercont2.4, whole genome shotgun sequence.
GCGUCUGUAGCCUAGUUGGUAAAGGCAGCACUCUAGUAUGUGUCUCAGCAUAGCUGAGGUCGUGAGUUCAACUCUCACCAGACACA